rnacentral:tRNA from 1 species
GCCAUCUUAGCUCAGUUGGUAGAGCAACGCACUUGUAAUGCGUGGGUCGUCAGUUCGAGUCUGACAGGUGGCU